UACGUAGGGUGCAAGCGUUGUCCCGGAAUUAUUGGGCGUAAAGAGCUCGUAGGCGGUUUGUCGCGUCUGCUGUGAAAACCCGAGGCUCAACCUCGGGCCUGCAGUGGGUACGGGCAGACUAGAGUGCGGUAGGGGAGAUUGGAAUUCCUGGUGUAGCGGUGGAAUGCGCAGAUAUCAGGAGGAACACCGAUGGCGAAGGCAGGUCUCUGGGCCACUACUGACGCUGAGAAGCGAAAGCAUGGGGAGCGAACAGG
rnacentral:rRNA from 1 species